rnacentral:siRNA from 1 species
AGUGUGCAUGUGUGGCGGUGUAU